GACACAAGCAAACCAGAUACCUUGUCUCUCACCUCAGAAGAGCUUGGGCUCUGAAAGGCUGUGUCUCUCUCCAUGGCACAGGGUCAGACGAGGAGCAAGGCACUGCUGCUUCCCCUGCCAGCCAGAGUGCAGACAAAGCAGCCCUUCCUGAACAACUGCCUCAGAAAUCUACUUUCCAUACUGGCCUGAAGGUAGAAGAAGAUGGAUUCCAAAUAAAAGGGCUGCUGUGUAAUCACCUAGGAGGGAACAGUUCUUCACAAACUGCUCCAACAAUUUUCCAGGGGAUGAGUCCUUCAAGAAACAGCCUGCUCCAGUGUGGGCUCCCCACAGGGCCACAAGUCCUGCCAGCAAACCUGCUCCAGCGUGGGCUCCUCUCUCCAUGGGUCUGCAGAUCCCUGCUAGGGGCCUGCUCCAGCAUGGGCAUCCCACGGGGUCAGCGCCGUCUCAGGUACCCACCUGCUCCAGCACCCACAGGCUGCAGGCAGAUCUUUGAGCUUCCACUGACCUCCAUGGGCUGCAGGGGCACAGCUGCUUCACCGUGGUCUGCACCACAGGAUGCAGGGGAAUCCCAGCUCCAGCGCUUGGAACACCUCCUCCUCUUCCUCCUCUCCUUCCACACUGACCUUGUGAUCUGCAGGGCUGAGUCGCUCCCACAUCCUCACUCUGCGCCGCUCUCCUCUGAGAUCAAUUACAAACCUUUGUUUUCCUUCUGAAAUAUGUUAUCACAGAGGCAUUACCAGCAUCUCCGAUGGGCUCAGUGGUGGGUCCCUCCUGCAGCCAGCUGGCAGUGGACAUGAGGGAAGCUUCUGGCAGCAUCUCACAGAAGACACCCCUGUAUCCCCUCCUGCUACCAAAACCUGGCCAUACAAACCCAGUACACACCUGGAUCCGAACAUGAGACCCUCUGAUGCUUGAGGUAGAGAGGUUUGUGGUGAAUGGUGUCCUGGGUGGUGUAAACUGCUAAUUUUGUACUGUGGGUUUUGCCUUCUAUUUCAAACAUCCCAUGCCUUAAGUGGCUCGGCCUCUGCUUUCAGAUCAAGGAAAUUCCUCAUUGUUUAACUUUACAAUAGAUAGAAAAUGUUCUAGCCAUGAAAAACCUACCUUUUAUAAAAGUUGCAGUGUUUUAUUUUUAAAGUCUCCAUUGCUAUGGAAUAUGCCACAGAAUUGACCUCCUGUCUCUGAACUACUCUUUGUUUCAUUUCCAUUAAAAAAAAAUGUUUUCUGCCAUUAAAAAAAAAGCAAAAAACCAAUAACAACAAUAAAAAAAAAGGUAGAAACAAGUAUGGGAAUAUCAGUUGAAAAUAAUUCUCUGCUGUAGUAUUUUCCAGAAUACAGCUUCAGAAACAGUAGCUUUGAAUGACAUGGAUCUCAUCACCUACCCUAAUAAAUGGCUAAUUCUGAAAUGUGCUGAUGUCAUCUUCAAAAGCUACUUCACUUCCAAUUUUUUUUGGUGUAAAUGCCAUUAAAUCCUUUCUCUUCUGCUUGGGGCUAGCUGCAGCUGCCCAUUUCCAUCUGUGGAAAUUCCUUACUUCCUACCGUCCUGUCACACAGUUCAAGAAAUGAAAUAAAUCUAGUGCCAUACUGAAAAUGUAAGGGCUAUGUGUAUCUAUUAUCUAGCCAGGCUAUUGUAGUGCACCUUAUAUGUCCCAAGGGUUUUGUGUGGUGUUUUCAUACAUGUGAUUAACAAUCAGAACGUCCCACAUACUAAAUUUAUUUAAAUGCAAUUGUCAUUCCCUUGAAAAAACCUUUUUUCCUCAAAACAUUUGUAGUUGUCAUUGUUCUAUACAUGCAGCAGCAGAGCAGUCCUGUCUUCCUGAUGCAAGUAAAUUCCAGACCUCUUUCUAGAGCUCUACUUUGGACACAGAAUAUCUUUCAGGAGCAGAAAAGCCUUUAUAGCCCUAUGGCUGGUCAUUGCUUGGGCUAGGCAAACACAGAAUAUAUCUGCAAGAGACAGGAUCCCCCACACUGCAGACUACACGUGGGUAAAUGGAGAAAUGUCUGCAUGACAAGUGACUCAGAAGACACCAUCAAAAGGAAAGCUCUAGGACAUCAGUCUGCACCCAGCCCUGGAUGAAUUCCAGUGUCCAACCAGAGGAGCAGAGCAGGACAGCCCAAAGCUGGCAGGAGCAGGUGUUUUUCUAAGUGUCCCAUGGCACAAGAGACACCUUCAGCUGGAAACAUCACGAGGUUCAAAAGGAGCACCACAUGCUAAAGUACUCCAACAUGAUGGACAAAGAUAAGUUUUAGAUCAUAUUCAUGUGGGAGCAUCUGCAGAUGUGUAAGGGUUGGGGUUUGGAUACAAAAAUGAACUAUCUGAGCUGCUGACGUAGAAAGAUAUUGUAAAUAAAAUCUGCUGAAUGGCUUUGAAACAGGAGAAUUUGAUGUUUGGGAGCUCAGUUGGUUGCUCAGUGCUGGGAGUGCCAUGGCAAGCAAAGGCCUCAGAUGGGCACCCGAGCAAGGGCUGGUCUGAUGUUACAGAGUGAAGAGGGGGUUCCCUUGCUUUCAUGAAGGGAGAACCCUUCAUUUCACCAGGGUGGGGAACUGAGAUGGAUGGUGGAAUUUCCAAAUGGUCCCCGGCCCAUCAGCGUGCUGGAAGUCACUCCCAGCUUGGACACAGCUGAAGCUCACAGGUGGGUGGCUGCUGCCAGCCCCGUGCCUGGCCUAGUGCAGAUCAUUGCUCCCAGAGGCACGAUUUAGUGAAAUAAAACCUGCCACUACCCGCUCUCAGGAUUCAGGUUUUUGAAAUAUGGGCUUGACAUGGAACCGAAAUUAAAACCCUAAUUCUUGAAAAAUGUUUUCUAUUAAAGAAUAUUCUGGGGAAAUGAUUUUGUGUAUGUAUUUAACACUUGAUUCAAUAUGUAUUUUAUUUUGAUGAAAAUGAAGUGUCUUUCGUUUAAACUGUUUCUUCUUCUGUUAUUUAAUGUGCCAGAGAAUACAUUUUCUAGAAUUAUCUAAUGGAAAAUAAUCUCAUGAAGGAAAACCAGAGAUAUUUUCCCCUACUCCUUGCUUCCCCCAAGAAAUUCUGGCUAAAUUGACCUAAUUUCAUGUCACUUUUUUAUUUCAGAGAAACAGCAAGGCCUGCUGUAUAAAGCCCUGUAAUCACCACUUGCUCACUUUACUGUAACCAAAAAAAAAAAAAAG